UGUGCUUGUAUGCGGGAAGUGAUGGACUCGUACAUUUCAGGGAUGAUUUUGUCAGUAAAAAAGCGCCUGGAGGGGAUUUUGUAACUGUCUUCCACUAUACUAUAGGGCUGCAAGUCAGUGGCUAUCAUUUUCCCAAUUGCUGCAUGAAUGGCUUUGGCUCGUGGGUUAUCUGAUGCCCACUGUUUGUUCGGUGUAGGGCUAGCAAAGCUGGUAAUGGUCGUCUGGUUAACACCAGUUUUUAGCUGUGACUGUCCUUCCUUUGCCG